rnacentral:rRNA from 1 species
AUACGGAGGAUCCGAGCGUUAUCCGGAUUUAUUGGGUUUAAAGGGUGCGCAGGCGGCCAUUUAAGUCAGCGGUUAAAUUGUGGGGCUCAACCCCAUUCUGCCGUUGAUACUGGGUGGCUUGAUUGCGGUCGAGGUUGGCGGAAUUCGUUGUGUAGCGGUGAAAUGCAUAGAUAUGACGAAGAACACCGAUUGCGUAGGCAGCUGACCAGACCGCAAAUGACGCUCAUGCACGAAAGUGCGGGGAUCGAACAGGAUUAGAUACCCUGGUAGUCCGCACAGUAAACGAUGAAUACUUGUUUUCGGCGAUAUAAUGUCGGAGGCAAAGCGAAAGCGAUAAGUAUUCCACCUGGGGAGUACGCCGGCAACGGUGAAACUCAAAGGAAUCGACGGGG